UAGGGAAUUGUUCGCAAUGGGCGCAAGCCUGACGACGCAACGCCGCGUGGAGGAUGAAGAUCUUCGGGUCGUAAACUCCUUUCGAUUGGGACGAAUUCCUUGAGGGUGAACAGCCUUCGGGGUUGACGGUACCGAGAGAAGAAGCCCCGGCUAACUCCGUGCCAGCAGCCGCGGUAAUACGGGGGGGGCAAGCGUUGUUCGGAAUUACUGGGCGUAAAGGGCUCGUAGGCGGCCGACUAAGUCAGACGUGAAAUCCCUCGGCUUAACCGGGGAACUGCGUCUGAUACUGGACGGCUUGAGUUCGGGAGAGGGAUGCGGAAUUCCAGGUGUAGCGGUGAAAUGCGUAGAUAUCUGGAGGAACACCGGUGGCGAAGGCGGCAUCCUGGACCGACACUGACGCUGAUGAGCGAAAGCCAGGGGAGCAAACGGGAUUAGAUACCCCCGUAGUCC
rnacentral:rRNA from 1 species